rnacentral:siRNA from 1 species
UUAUCGAUUGUGGCGGCGGCUCA